rnacentral:rRNA from 1 species
AUUGAACGCUGGCGGCAGGCCUAACACAUGCAAGUCGAGCGGAGCGGCGGACGGGUGAGUAAUGCCUAGGAAUCUGACUGGCAGUGGGGGAUAACGUCAGGAAACGGGCGCUAAUACCGCAUCCUACCAGAUGAGCCUAGGUCGGAUUUGCUAGUUGGAUGGGUAAAGGCCUACCAAGGCGACGAACCGUAACUGGUCUGAGAGGAUGAUCAGUCACACGGUAACUGAGAAACGGUCCAGACUCAUACGGGAGGCAGCAGUGGGGAAUAUGGGACAAUGGGCGAAAGCCUGAUCGAGCCAUGCCGCGUGUGUGAAGAAGGUCUUCGGAUUGUAAAGCACUUUAAGUUGGGAGGCGUUACCAACAGAGUAAGCACCGGCUAACUUCGUGCCAGCAGCCGCGGUAAUUC